rnacentral:rRNA from 1 species
GAAGGAUCAUUACAAGAAGAACGAGGCCUUCGGGUCUCGAUCCUCAAACCACUGUGUACCGUAUCUCUUGUGUUUGGCGGGCGCGCCUCCCCUCCGCGGGGUGGUCAGCCCGCCGAAGAUGCAGACCGUCCGUCCGAUGAACGUCUGAAACCAAAUCGUUUUUAACGAGAAUUAAAGUACAACUUUCAACAAUGGAUCUCUUGGUUCUGGCAUCGAUGAAGAACGCAGCGAAAUGCGAUAAGUAAUGUGAAUUGCAGAAUUCAGUGAAUCAUCGAAUCUUUGAACGCACAUUGCGCCCUUUGGUAUUCCGAGGGGCAUGCCUGUUCGAGCGUCAUUUAAAAACAUCAAGCACGGCUUGGUCUUGGGCGGGGUCUCCGGACCCGCCUGUAACCGGUUGGCGGCACCGCCUGGCUUUAAGCGUAGCAAGUCUUACCCUCGCUUCGGAGCCCGUGUGGGGACCGGCCCUAGGUACCUCUAAAGUUUGACCUCGGAUCAGGUAGGGAUACCCGCUGAACUUAA